rnacentral:lncRNA from 1 species
UUAGGAGUGGCAUUUUUGUUUUCUUUCCUUUACUUUUUCUUUUGGGUGCAAGCAUUGCUUCUUAACACCAAUCUUAUAAGUUAUGUUUUCUUACUCUAAUUAAGCCUAAUCAAGGGCGAAUUCUGGGUUUUAACACCAUCAAAGACGUGCAUGUUAGCUAAAACAUGUCAAGCAAGCAAUCCCGUUUCGAGCGAAAUUUUAU